UUUCCUGUGGCUCAGUUGGUAGAGCAUUACGCGGACAGCGCAAAGGUUGUGGGUUCAAAUCCCAGGGCAAAA